rnacentral:rRNA from 1 species
GACGAACGCUGGCGGCGUGCUUAACACAUGCAAGUCGAACGGAAAGGCCCUGCUUUUGUGGGGUGCUCGAGUGGCGAACGGGUGGGUAACACGUGAGUAACCUGCCCUUGACUUUGGGAUAACUUCAGGAAACUGGGGCUAAUACCGGAUAGGAGCUCCUGCUGCAUGGUGGGGGUUGGAAAGUUUCGGCGGUUGGGGAUGGACUCGCGGCUUAUCAGCCUGUUGGUGGGGUAGUGGCUUACCAAGGCUUUGACGGGUAGCCGGCCUGAGAGGGUGACCGGCCACAUUGGGACUGAGAUACGGCCCAGACUCCUACGGGAGGCAGCAGUGGGGAAUAUUGCACAAUGGGCGGAAGCCUGAUGCAGCAACGCCGCGUGCGGGAUGACGGCCUUCGGGUUGUAAACCGCUUUCGCCUGUGACGAAGCGUGAGUGACGGUAAUGGGUAAAGAAGCACCGGCUAACUACGUG